ACUAUUUCUAUAAACCAUUAGCAUAUGUUUAAGAGUGACAUAGCAAUGCUAUGCUCCUGCUGUGUGUGUGAUUAAUGCUCCUUUAACUCUAAUCUCUCAGCUUUCACUGUAUGUCUUCAAUAUCUGUGAAUUUUUCAAACUUCCAUUGAUUAUGAAGUGACUAUAAUUCAGUUGCACAGUGUAAACGCUGUGAAAUGAUCACAAUUUCUGGAUAGAAUUAGG